rnacentral:rRNA from 1 species
CCUACGGGCGGCUGCAGUAAGGAAUAUUGGUCAAUGGAGGCAACUCUGAACCAGCCAUGCCGCGUGCAGGAAGACAGCCCUCUGGGUCGUAAACUGCUUUUAUUCGGGAAUAAACCUAUUUACGUGUAGAUAGCUGAAUGUACCGAAGGAAUAAGGAUCGGCUAACUCCGUGCCAGCAGCCGCGGUAAUACGGAGGAUCCAAGCGUUAUCCGGAUUUAUUGGGUUUAAAGGGUGCGUAGGCGGCUUAUUAAGUCAGGGGUGAAAGACGGUGGCUCAACCAUCGCAGUGCCUUUGAUACUGAUGAGCUUGAAUGAACUAGAGGUAGGCGGAAUGUGACAAGUAGCGGUGAAAUGCAUAGAUAUGUCACAGAACACCGAUUGCGAAGGCAGCUUACUAUGGUUUUAUUGACGCUGAGGCACGAAAGCGUGGGGAUCAAACAGGAUUAGAUACCCCGGUAGUC